rnacentral:rRNA from 1 species
AUUGAACGCUGGCGGCAGGCCUAACACAUGCAAGUCGAGGGGCAGCACUAGGUAGCAAUACUGAGGUGGCGACCGGCGCACGGGUGCGUAACGCGUAUCCAACCUUCCCGAUACUCUUGGAUAGCCUUCCGAAAGGGAGAUUAAUACAAGAUGGUGUUUCACUUUCGCAUGUUAUUGAAACUAAAGAUUUAUCGGUAUCGGAUGGGGAUGCGUGACAUUAGAUAGUAGGCGGGGUAACGGCCCACCUAGUCUACGAUGUCUAGGGGUUCUGAGAGGAAGGUCCCCCACACUGGAACUGAGACACGGUCCAG